CUCUAUCUGGAGAUCCUUUCUCUCGGAGCCCUUCUGUGAGCCCAGGGCAUGGAUACUUCCACUAAAAACCAGCCAGAUUCACUCAUAUAGAACUUGAGAGUGGUCCCAUCCUGCUGCUUCUGUGGGAAGAGGAGAGGUCCACAUCAGGGUUGGAAAGCAAGAUAUGUUUUAUCUGAGAGGUGAACAGUUUUACUACCACAAAGGAAGAGCAGCAGCUGGAUUCAUCAGUAUCUGUGGAAGAAAAAGCCUUCAUCCUCGUCUCCUUGAUGAAAACCAUCUAUUGACUGAAGCUGAGAAUCAAGUUAAAUAAACAAGAGUCUGUAUUAAGAAGGGAAACAAAUGCUGCUAAGAAUGUAUCAUAAUGUAAACAGAGAGUGUACCUUCACCUUGAAUGCUGUUUGCAAUUCUGUGCACAACAAUUCAAAAAAGAUAAAAUCAGAAAGUCAAUGGGUCUAGAGAAGGGCAAGAAAAAAAUAUCAGAAGAACAGCAAGAUGUCUACAGUAUUCACAGUGAUUAUAAAGGGAAAAAAGAAAGUUUAGGAAGGAGGAUUAAUUUUGUCUUGAGGAUGGAGUCAUAGGUGUAGUGUGAAGAAUGGAGAAGAGAUAAGUCAAAGAGAUGGAUAUUAUCCUCACUCAGGAGGGAUGACAGACUUGAAAUGGAAUGUAAAACAGGAAGAAAAGACUCCGUUGGCACAGGGAUUUGGAAGGGUAAAAACAGAGUGAUUCGUAGUAGGCCAAAUAGGCUGUGAUUAAUAGUCCAUCAACUGCUUCUGUGUUUACUCUUAUGAGAACACUUCCCUGCCUACUCACCAAUUCAAAGAUGAGUUUAACCCAAACGUGACUUUCCCAAAGAAACUUAUCAUAUAUUUGAACAGACUGGUACUUAGAUAAAAUGCUCCAUUGCCAGAAAUUGUCUCAGACCAGGACUGUAUGGAAAUGCAUUAAACCCUUAAAAACAGUGCAAGUAAAUACCAUUUUCAUCUCUGCAUCCCAAGAAACACUUAUCUUCAACAAACUCCUGAAAACUUGCCACACCCUAAUACUUAAUAAAUGGGCCUAAAUCUUC
ensembl:lncRNA